UUCAUGGCUAAACCAGCUGAAGAACAGCUUGAUGUGGGACAGUCUAAAGAUGAAAACAUACAUACAUCACGUAUUACCCAAGACGAAUUUCAAAGAAAUUCAGACAGAAAUAUGGAAGAGCCUGAAGAGAUGGGAAAUGAUUGUGUUUCCAAAAAACAGAUGCCACCUGUGGGAAGCAAGAAAAGUAGCACUAGAAAAGAUAAGGAAGAAUCUAAAAAGAAGCGCUUUUCCAGUGAGUCCAAGAACAAACUUGUACCUGAAGAAGUGACUUCAACUGUCACAAAAAGUCGAAGAAUUUCCAGGCGUCCAUCUGAUUGGUGGGUGGUAAAAUCAGAGGAGAGUAAGUAUUUUUAUUUAAAUUGUGUUUGUUCAUAGACAAAAUCAUUCUGUAAGGGGCAUUAUGUUUGAUUUUAUAUUUCUAUAUAGAGAAUAUCAUGAGGACCAAGUUAAAUUGGGUCAUCAAAAGGAAUAUUAAAUCAAUUGUAAAGAUAUUCCUUGAAGCGUUAAUAUAUACAGUAUUUUAGGAAUAGUGAUAAUAGCUGUGGGAAAACAAAACCCCAAACCAGAAAUCCCUGCUCUCAUGGAGCUUGCAUUCUAGUUGGGAAAGGCAAUAUAAAUAAUCCAGCUAUUUUAAUGUCCUGGCUGUGAGGGAUACAAAGAUUGAUAAUAUGAGGUUCUGCCACCAAGGAGUU
rnacentral:sRNA from 1 species